UCCCCUAUCGGCCCCCCUGCACCCCUCAUCCUUCCUCUACAGCAGCCCCCCCCCGCUUCCUCCUCCCGCGCCGCCCCGCUUCGGCCUGUGCCCGGUGUAAUCCCCCCCCCCGGGGGUACCGCGCCUGGCCGGCUCCCCCUCACCAGGGACGGGAGGAGGGUCUCUCUGCGCGCGGCGGAGCGGCCCCGCGCCUCACCUGGCCCGGGGAUCGAGACCGGUAUCGAUCGGGGAGGGGGGCGCGGGCUGGGCCCGAGUCUCUUUCUUUAAACUGUGGGAGCAAGAUCAGGACUUUUUUUAACCACAUAUGGUACUUUUCCUCUCCAUCGAAGAAAAUGUAAGUAACUCCAUAUCUUUAUGUAAAAAUUAGAGAGAGUGCAAGAGUUCAGUCCUGUUCCAACUGAAGUAAAUAUCAAAACUCAUUGAUUUAAUUAGGAGCCAGGCCCCCAUUUUUGAGCUUUUUGAAAUGGAAACAAGUUCUAAAAUGAUUGCAGAAUGAAACUACGUGUGGUUCUUUUGAUUUUGUGUGCUUUCUGUCAUGCCAUGGUUUUCCUCAGUAAAACGAGGCUAGUUCACUAGCACAUGCAGCCAUUUGAAUGUCUUUGUCACACAAGUAAGUGUUCCCCAUGAGAACUCACGUGCUUUUCCUUAUAGAUUGGUGCAUAAGAAGGCAGAUGGUCUCUAGUCUGAUUUUGUGGUCUGUAACAGACACCAACUAAUAUCCCAUCUUGUGCUUUAUCUGGAGGACGUUGAUCCAUAAGCAUUCAAGAUCAUUUUCUUCCAAGUUAUCAGUGACUCAGAAACAGGUAAUGCCCUUUUUGAUGUAGUGCCACUCCCCCUUCCCUUUUGCCUACUCAAUCCUUCGUAAAUAGGUUAUGACCAUUGAUUGUAACAUUUUAAUCAUGCACUAGUUUAAUUAAUAAUACCAAGUAGAUUGAAUUUAUGGUCAUAAAUGAGCAAUUUCAGUUCCUCUUGUUUGUUGGAGGAUAGGCAAUUCAAGAAUUUCUUCUCUUCAUGUCCUUUGGUUCCUUGAUUAAUUGUGUUCUCAGCAUCUCAAUUUUGUGCUGAGUGCUUCUAUCUUCCCUCUUUUUUCUACCCCAUUUUCUAUUAGUUUAACUCCCUCCUGACUACUCUAGCCAAAGUGUUCCCAAGGAGAUCAGUCCCACCCCUUCUACUGAGGCGCAGGCCAUCCGACCUAUACAGUUCCAUCUUCCCAUGGAAAGUGGCCAAUGUUUCACUAAACCAAAAUCCCUUCAUCUUAGACCACUUACCUAACCAGUGGGUUCAUUUCUAGAAUCUUCUGCUUUUUGUCUUACUUCACUUGUGGGAUAGGAAAGAUCUCAGAGAAGACCGCUUGGACAUUCUUCUUCUUCAGCACACUUCCAAGUUCCCUUCCAAGUUAUCUCCUAUCUGUGAUGUAGUGUCAUUAGUGACAAUAUGAACAACUACCAAAGUCCUUAUGCAUCAGCUUUAAAAGCCUAUCCAAUCUUAGAGUGGCAUCUUGUGUCUUGGUUCCAGAAGACAGCAUACCCUUCUAUUGUCCUCCUGUCCCUUGAAGAAUGUUCUUUUGAUUCUUCUGAGUAUUGACUGUCCAACAAGGAUCAUCAGUCUUCCUUAGAUGAUUGGCAAACUCUUUGCGGGAAAGCUUGAUUAUCUUACAGGUUGGGCCAAGCUGUCAUCCACAUGUGUGUCUUGAUUUAUGUUGCUUAAUCAUAUUAAAGGACAGUUCAUCAGAGUCAUCAGUACAUUCACUAUGGCCAUCCAUUAGCAAUGGCUUUAUUUCUAGGUAUGAUAUUCUCAAUAGUAUGGAAAUACCCAGAAAGCCUUCAGAUAAACCAUACUCUAGCAGUAUUGGUAUCUGAGCUCUGGAAAAAGCUACAGCAUUUGUGUUUGUGCUUUUAGAUGCACUGAAUUCCACACACUAGAAGUUUCAGAUGGAUACCAGGUCCUCAACAUAGAAACUUCAGAAGAUACCCCUCAAGAUCCAUGCAAAUAACUGGAUAUUUCUGGUUUCUGGAAGUUAAGAAAUUAUCAUUUUAUGUUGACCUAAAAUUAAUCUUUUUUUAAUUUUUGGUUAACCAAAAAUUUAAAAUGUUUAAUUUCCACCCCGGUUUUUUUUCAAUUUUGAGCAUUUUUAAUAUUUUUUAAAAAAUAAUAAAAUUGAACUACAUUUUAAAAAAAGUCACUUAUGUUUUUAUGUGUUCUUUGCAAGCCAGAUUUGGGGUAGGCUGCAAUAACUUUUGCCAUCCAGGUCAUUCCUAAGUGUGGGUCAAAAUCUGUAAUACAUUGUUUUCCUUUAGGAUAAUACUAUAAUUAUCUAGUUAUGUUGUAAACCAUUUUAAUACUUGUCUUAACACCCUGGGCACCCAAAGAACUUUACUGCUUGAUUCUUUUCCAGGAUGCAUGGGCACAUGUUGCUUAUCUAGUAGAAUCAUCUGCUGAGCGUGUACAGGCUUGCAUGUGUGGCAUCCAUUGUUAUGAAAUGCACAAUGAUGUGCACCUGCUUAACUAAGACCGGAAUCUUGGCCUCAGACUACAUUAUCAUAAAAAUUCCAAGCUUGGUUAACCAAACAUCUGUGUAUUUAUUUGUAUCCAUUCAUAAAUGAUUAAAUUCAUUCCUAUGCAGUGGGUCCAGAAAAGGUCUAUGCACCAUUUAAGUCAUAGUUAAGCCCUAUCUUAACUAUUUAAAUGGGACUUAAAUGGUUCAUAGGCCCUGUUAUUAUCAACAUAAAUAUAAUGCAGUAUUUUAAGAUACAGCACACAAAACAUGUUACAUUAAUUCUUUUUAUAACAGCGCAGCUCAAACACUGUUAUUAUUAUAUCUAUGUCUGAUUAGGAAUUUUGCCUGCAUAAAGAAUACAGGAUCAAACCCUACUAUUUGUCUAUGAUUAAAAGUUAACUUUACUAAUGUCGGAAAUUGUUUACACCUCUCAAAUUCCCCAUGAAUUCAAUGGAUGUUUUGGGUGAGCAAAGAAUGAAGGAUUUUAUGCUGAUAUUAAUAACUAUAAAUAGUUUGCAUGAAUAAAUAUUUGUGCCUGAUUUACUCAUUGACUAGAUAAAACUAUUCAGAGUGAAUAAUUUAGGCCCUGAUCCUCCAAAAACGUAUGCAUAUGCAUAACUUAACUGAGUUGAAGUUAAGCAUGUGUGUACAUUUUUGCAGGAUGGGGACCUUAUUCUGUGAAUGUAGCCUUUUUGACUUAUAAACAGACUAAUUUUUACAAAGGUUGUUUAUUUGUUUAAAAUUAAGAACAUAUUUCAACUCAUGAGCUUUCCAUAAACUAUUUGAUUCGGCUUUAUAUUUGGUUGGUUUUGUAUUUGGUUGUUCGCUAUUUGGCAUGUUAAUUGGUCACCUAAGUCACAUGUUAUUGUUUCUACUUGUUGGUUGGACGAUUGAAUGUUUUAUCAGGGAGAUUUCAACAUUGCUUGGUGAGCCCUUCCAACAUGAGACUUCAUAUAAACACACUAGUACAACAAUUCAUUAGAUUUUUACUUUCUGAAACAUUCUUGCAAGCAAAAAACCCACUUAUGAAUGCCCCUGAAAAACAACCAAAAAAGGUUAUGAAUUCCCUCUAAACGAGUUCUCUAUUUUUAUCUAAUGUGUGAUGGAAAAUACUUUUUUGGAGCAUUCACUCAAUUCUACUAAUGACUACUAAUAAAAUGUAAAAAGUAAUGGAAAUUGUCUGUUGGUCUAAGUUACUCCACUUGAUAUGUUAAUUUAUAUUUUACAACAACAUUUUGAAAUUUCUUCUUUGUAUCUCUGCUUUAGUUUCUGCACUUUUGUGGGACCAUGAUUCAUUCAGGAGAAAUUAAUGGUCAUCUGACUCAGCCUGGUUUGUGAUUAACUGUUACUGCACCAAAAAUAAGAUAAAGAUUUUGUGUAGUUAGAGCAUAAUAUCCUAGUUCAAAUAAAAAAUGUUAAUGUAAAGAU